ACCUCACGUACCUCUUCCAGAGGAGCACAAUUUCCACCCACUGAUUUCCACUGUGGCUUUGCAGAUCCUCUGCCCUCAUCAGCUCCAUUUGGCCUCUCGCACCGCAGGCACACGCUGAUGACAGGACCAAAAAAAGAAGCUGAAUCCCAUUUUUGGCCCUCCCAAGGCCAGCGUUCCUACAUAAAGCACGCGCCGAGAGCUCCUGCGCUCCAUGAUUGUACUACAGACAUGAGGUGUUGUUGAAGUUUCAACCCUCUCAACUCAAACGGCCUUUAGAAAAUGUCUAUGGUGAAAAUAAUACUGAGCAAAAUAUAAUUUCUGGCUGUUAUAUAUUGACUGUUGUAUAACAGCUUUGAAUGUGGCUCAUCCCAUCAGAGCUAAUUUUGUGAUCGGACACUAUUUAUUGAUUUGUCUAUAAACACAACCGUUCAAAAGUUUGGGGAUGGUAAGAUUUAUUCAUUAUUUUGAAAGAAGUCUCUUCUGUUCACCAAGGCUGCAUUUAUUUGAUCAAAAAUACAGUAAAAAUUGUGAAAUAUUAUUACGAUUUAAAAUAUCUGUUUUCUAUGUGAAUAUAUAGUAAAUUGUAAUUUAUUCCUGUGAUCAAAGUUGAAUUUUCAGCAUCAUUACUCCAGUCUUCAGUGUCACAUGAUCCUUCAGAAAUCAUUCUAAUAUGAUGAUUUGCUGCUCAAGAAACAUUUAUGAUUAUUAUCAAUCAAUAUUUUUGUGGAAAACGCAAAACAUUUUAUCUUUCAGGAUUCUUUGAUGAAUAGAAAGUUCAAAAGAACAGCAUUUAUUUGAAAUAUAAUCUUUUGUAACAUUAUAAAUGUCUUUACUGUCACUUUUGACCAGUUUAAUGCGCCUUUGGUGAAUAAAAUUAUUUAUUUUCAUCAACAACAACAACAAAAAGGUCUCACUGACCCCAAACUUUUGAUCUGAGGUUUAUAUAUAAUAACUGUAUGAUAGUGACAACAAGCAAACAAGGGCCUUAUACAGUAUCAUAAAUACUACAGCACUUAUGGCACUAUUAAAUGGUUAUCCAGCAUUUUGCGUCAGCAAUGUCAACACAGAAACACCCUUUGCAGUGGAAAGCAGAAAUAAUUAAGCCAGGUUUUGUAGAAACCACUGGUUAAUAAUCAUUUUCAUCCCUCUGAGUAUGAUGACGGAAAGCGUAGAUAAGCCUUGACCGGAAAAAGGAAGUCUGAAACUAUUUAUGACAUAUUACGAUGUCCUGUAGCUGCUAAGAAUUCCCCUCUUCAGACUGACCUAUUCCAGGCAAAACACAACACCAGGGUCUUCUCUUUCCAGGGAAAAGCCUUGAGCUAAAAUAUAAGGAUAGAAGAUUUCAAGAUUCAUUUGUGAAGUUGUUUAAAUAAAACCUCUUAUCUGUUCAUCAAGCUGGGAAAUGGGAUGAUGAAACAUUAGUCAGCCACGGUGCCAGAGAACUCAGGGGAAGUUUCUCACAGCAGAUGUUUCAGAACGAAAGCGGAUUCUCUGGUGAGACGUAAGAAUGUGAAAGAGUUUAGAAUCGAAACCCCGAGAGUCUGAUCAGAUAAUACAAUAACUGCUGGAAUCAUCAGGAUUUUGGGGAGAUAAACUGACUCACACACAUGACUUAGAUCUCAAACAGCUCUCAAAACAAGGUAAAUGCCAAAAAAUGCAGUAUCUUGGAUGGAUUACGAUUCUGGUUGCUAGCUUGGAUAUCAAAGUUUGCCCACUUGGAAAAGAAACGGAGCUGAGGAAACAAAUCAAUCACAACAUAUUUAAUUCCAAAGCUACAAAAAUAGUGCUUUUACAAGGAAUAAAUGAAUGUUGGCCAAUAGGAAUGUAUUUUUAACUUCCAGUGGGAAGAUCUGAAUUAAAAUGUGAGGGUCUGGUGGUGGAUCGCACACACAAAAGGAAAAAUUCUCACCAGUUCAUGAGCCAUGGAAAAUAUUUAGAAGUGUAAUGAAACAGUUUAUGGUCCAGGUCAGGUUUCACUGAGAUCUCGGAGGAUGUGUAGUUUAGUGAAAACAGAUGAACAUAAGUAAUAGAAAAACCGACCUAAGAACAGUCCUACAACUAAUGUACUGUAGUAGACCGUGACAUAAGGCUGCGUUUGUCCUCAUUCAGCACAGAAAUCUACAGGUUUGUUAUGGAUCUUCAAGUGACAUUAAAUGCAAUGCUGCCACCUACUGGAUAUGAUCAUUAUCAACACUAUAUUUAUAUCACCACCAGCCUCUUGGGAUGAGCAAGAACUAUGUAAAAAAAAAUAUAUAAAGGAUGCACAAAAACAUUUUUUAUAUCAUGUUGGUAUAAAAACAA